UUAUAGAUGGACAUGCGUUGUAUUAGCUAGUUGGUGAGGUAACGGCUCACCAAGGCAACGAUACAUAGGGGGACUGAGAGGUUAACCCCCCACACUGGUACUGAGACACGGACCAAACUCCUACGGGAGGCAGCAGUGAGGAAUAUUGGUCAAUGGGCGUAAGCCUGAACCAGCCAAGUCGCGUGAGGGAUGAAGGUUCUAUGGAUCGUAAACCUCUUUUAUAAGGGAAUAAAGUGUGGGACGUGUCCUAUUUUGUAUGUACCUUAUGAAUAAGGAUCGGCUAACUCCGUGCCAGCAGCCGCGGUAAUACGGAGGAUCCGAGCGUUAUCCGGAUUUAUUGGGUUUAAAGGGUGCGUAGGCGGCCUUUUAAGUCAGCGGUGAAAGUCUGUGGCUCAACCAUAGAAUUGCCGUUGAAACUGGGGGGCUUGAGUAUGUUUGAGGCAGGCGGAAUGCGUGGUGUAGCGGUGAAAUGCUUAGAUAUCACGCAGAACCCCGAUUGCGAAGGCAGC
rnacentral:rRNA from 1 species